UCGCCGAAGCCGCCGCAACCGGAGAGGUGGAGACGGGGCGGCGACCUCGGGCGGAGACCCCGGGCCAUCACCAACCACCGCAGCGAUGGAGUGGAAGGAGCCAAGGAUGCCACGAGCAGGAGACGGGGACGAGUACCUACCAGCUUUGCGCCAGCGAUGACCGACACGCAGCCACCCCGAAGACCCAACAGGCGAAGCCAUCGGCCUACCCCGGCCCCCCGGAGCAAACUUCCCAACACGGCCCGGCGCCCGGACAGCCGGCACCACCGACGCCACAACGGACUCAACGACCCCCUCCGAAUCAGAGUCCAGAUCCUCUGCAUCCCCCAAAGCCCAGAACCGAGACCCAGAGAACUCCGAUGACACAACCGGGCGGCCCGCCGCGGUCGAAGAUCCAGGGAGAUCCACCAGCAAGCCAAGCGACGAGGGGGUCGACGGAAGAGACAAGGAGGAAACAAGCAGCGAAGGGGAUCCAUGGGGGGAGGCGGGAUCUAGGGAAGAAGAGAGCGGGGAGCGGGGAGGAGAGGGGGGGAGGGAGAGAACCCAUCAGAGGUUUUCGUAUGCUUCUUCCGUUGUUUUGCCGCCGGCUGCGCGUCGACGGUCGACGGCGUCGCUGUGCCGUGCGCUGCUAGCAUCUGCUGGUUGGUUCGUGAGCGGCACCGCCUAGGUGCCCUGGCUCGUGCGUCGUUCGUCGAGUGGUGGUCGUGAGAGCAUUUUGAGCUGGACCGACCUCUUCAAAUUGCUCCAUUUUUUUGGAGAUGGAGAGUUCACACACUAUCCAAACAUUCUUUUAGUCGGACCCUAUAAACCUAGUGCAAUUGUCUGAUAUGUUCCGCGCCUCAAAUCAAAGCUCAUACGUGAAGCAGAAAUGAAGCGUUUGGACGUGUUCGUCACGUCGGACCCGACACAUUGAACCCAUCCUCCCAAAUAGAUCCUCACCCCCUUUGCCCCAGGCCCGCCCUCUUGUUCUCUGCUCUGUCCUUGUCCGCGUCGCACCCUGCCCACCCUCUACCCCAACUCCGAUGUUGUCCCCCGCUUGCCUUGAACACGAUCGCCACCCUGGGACAAGAUGGAUUCGCUGGAGGAUGAGUUUGUUCACCCCGAAUGUUGAGGAGUUCAUUGAAUUGUUGUCGGUGGGCAUCGAUGAUGAUGGCAGUGAAGAGUUGAUGAUGAUGAGCAUCCUCGAACAAAUAUGGUAUAACUGGAGAUGUCGUUGAUGAGAUCGUUCAGAUGGGAGUGAGCACAUGCAUUGACGUGAUGUUGAGAUUUGUCUUUGUGGUGGUGAAGGUGUUUGGAUCGAAGUACUUGAGAGAACCAAAUAUCAAGGAUACAAAAAGACAUUUAGCAAUUGGAGCAACAGAAGGCUUUCCUAGUAUGCUCGGUUUAGUUGAUUGCAUGAGGUGGCAAUGGCAGAAGUGGCCGAUAGGUUUGUGUGGGCAAUACCAAGGUAAUACCAAAUAUGUCAUCAUCAGACUUGAAGUUGUGGAUUUGACAUGGUUUCUUUGGCAUGUCAGGAUCUUAGACGACAUCAAUGUGCCUCAGCGAUGUGCUGUUUAAGAGACUUUGUGAUGGGAUGCUCUGUCGUGCAAUUACGCCAUCAACGAGCAUGGCUACACCAUGUGGUACGACCUUACCGGUGGUAUCUAUCCUUGAUGGGCCGAGUUUAUGAAGACUACUCUCGAGGCCCAAGGUAACAAAAUGUCUCUUUGCACAAACGCAAGAAGCUGCUAGGAAGGAUAUGGAGAGGGAGUUUGGUGUGCUCUAAGCUCGCGAGACAUUGUUGGAUGUGAUGACUUUUUGUGUAUUUUUUUUGAAUAACUUUUUGUGUGAUCUUGAACAUGGUUGUGGAGGAUGAUGGUGACAUUGCUCUCACCAUACUUUUGAUUUUGAGAGGCCUUGAGUACAUGUCCUGCUCACUUGACAAGAUGUAGAGCAAGUUGUCAACUUUCUAGAGAUGAAUCGACAACUUCGAGAUCAAUAUGUGCAUGUGCAACUACUCAAUGAUCUUGUGGAGCAUAUGUGGAUUCAUGUUGUAAAUCACUAGUUUUAUGUUUGAAGUUUAUUUUUUUAAAAUUUGAAA